CAGAACACACAGAGACGGAGGUUCCGGGUGAAGAAUGUUCUGGAGUCCCAGGCUCCCCGCCGGGCCCGGAAUAAAGGGUUUGACAAGAUUAACCAGACACGCACCUGGAGAAGAAGCUUUGCCGCUCGGAGGUGCCUCCUUCUUGCUGACAGUUGUGGGGGGGCCCGGACAGAGCUGUCCCAUGGGGUGCCUUUCACACACUUUGCCUUGGGGUAAAGAAGCGUUAUUUCCUCUUUCGGGCUGAAGACUCUCAUGUGACCGGGGUUCCAGGGCAGUGCGGCUCCGGAGCUAGGGGCUGAGGACAGUGACACAGCCAGCUGGGGCCGUCCUCUGCCGUAUUCAGAAGAGGCUCAUCUCCUGUACUUGCACAGGACUGCGGUUUCUAGGAGUUCUCUGCCGUUUCCCUGCCCGAGCGACAGCCAACACCAGGUCUAGCCUCACUGGAUACAUGAUCUCCAGCCAUCAGCUAACACAGAGCCUGACCUUGCUCGAGUGAUCUCUGUGCAAGUUUGCUGAAUGAAUAAAGGAGCAGGCCUCUCCGCAUGGCCUCCUGGCCCAUCAACCCCUCACAGCCUCACUGCCCCUGCCCAGCCUGAGCCCACAGCUUACAGAGCUGCCCCAGGCCUCCUGCCACAGCUGGCUUCCCUGACAACUGAGGCACAGAGAGUUUAAGUGACCUGUCUGAGGCCCAUGACAGAAAAUCUACAAAUGAAGAAAUUUCCAUCUCAGUUACAGAACUGAAAAGACAAGCUGAAAUCUGCAGUUACGACCGGAAUCUGGAAAACUAAACCACAGCCCUGUCGAGCUGCUCUCCUAAAUGCUUACCUCGAACUAACUACAGAGGUCAUCCAGAGAGUUGUUCCGAAAUUGGUCAUCAGACGAUAGAAAAACAAACCCCCAAACUGUCAACAAAAUGAGUAUCUCUACAGCGGCUCACGCACAAGGCUACAGAGGAAAGGGAGACCAGAAUGGUGUGGGCCAGCACCGCCCAGGGAUAUGUGAGCCACACAAGUCAUCUAAACACUUCAGUAGCCGCAUUACAAAGUAAAAAGAACUGGGUAAAAUUA